AUUGAACGCUGGCGGCAUGCUUUACACAUGCAAGUCGAACGGUAACAGGCCGCAAGGUGCUGACGAGUGGCGAACGGGUGAGUAAUGCAUCGGAACGUGCCCAGUCGUGGGGGAUAACUACUCGUAAGAGUAGCUAAUACCGCAUACGAUCUAUGGAUGAAAGCGGGGGACCGUAAGGCCUCGCGCGAUUGGAGCGGCCGAUGUCCGAUUAGGUAGUUGGUGGGGUAAAGGCUCACCAAGCCAACGAUCUGUAGCUGGUCUGAGAGGACGACCAGCCACACUGGGACUGAGACACGGCCCAGACUCCUACGGGAGGCAGCAGUGGGGAAUGUUGGACAAUGGGCGCAAGCCUGAUCCAGCAAUGCCGCGUGCAGGAAGAAGGCCUUCGGGUUGUAAACUGCUUUUGUACGGAACGAAACGGCUCUGGUUAAUACCCGGGGCUAAUGACGGUACCGUAAGAAUAAGCACCGGCUAACUACGUG
rnacentral:rRNA from 1 species